GAGCCUGUGGCUCAAUGGUAGAGCGUUUGAUUCAAAUACCAAUGUUUGCUGGUUUAAAUCCCAGGUUUG
rnacentral:tRNA from 1 species